rnacentral:tRNA from 1 species
GCCCCCGUGCUGCAAUCGGUUGACGGGGCCGCCUCAAAAGCGGCUGGUCGAAAGGCCAUGUGGGUUCGAGUCCCACCGGGGGCA